CGAACGGGCGUAGCAAUACGUCAGUGGCAGACGGGUGAGUAUCGCGUGGGAACGUACCUUUUGGUUCGGAACAACACAGGGAAACUUGUGCUAAUACCGAAUAAGCCCUUACGGGGAAAGAUUUAUCGCCGAAAGAUCGGCCCGCGUCUGAUUAGCUUGUUGGUGAGGUAACGGCUCACCAAGGCGACGAUCAGUAGCUGGUCUGAGAGGAUGAUCAGCCACAUUGGGACUGAGACACGGCCCAAACUCCUACGGGAGGCAGCAGUGGGGAAUAUUGGACAAUGGGCGAAAGCCUGAUCCAGCCAUGCCGCGUGAGUGAUGAAGGCCCUAGGGUUGUAAAGCUCUUUUGUGCGGGAAGAUAAUGACGGUACCGCAAGAAUAAGCCCCGGCUAACUUCGUGCCAGCAGCCGCGGUAAUACGAAGGGGGCUAGCGUUGCUCGGAAUCACUGGGCGUAAAGGGUGCGUAGGCGGAUCUUUAAGUCAGAGGUGAAAGCCUGGAGCUCAACUCCAGAACUGCCUUUGAUACUGAGGAUCUCGAGUUCCGGAGAGGUGAGUGGAACUGC
rnacentral:rRNA from 1 species